CACGAGACUCAGCCGCAGCCGGGCCCGCUGGGGGGAGCCGGCAAAAGAGGAAGGAGGGGGGGAGGAGAGAGACGACAACACUGCGCAUGCGCGAGACCGCCGCUGUUUCCCAUUCAGGAGAAGGAAGCGACUUUGCAUUGUCUUCUGUAGACCUUCCUUAUUAAAGGAGUCUGGGAAAAGGACCUGAGAAUUCUUCCUCCCACCCUCCCCAACGGUGGAUCUACAGAUUCACAAAUCAGGGAUAUUGGUGCCUCCCGAGAAAAGGAUAAAGCUGUUUCAGAACUUGGGGGGAGGGAUGCAUCAUGUGUCAACUGUCUCUAGUAAAAACAGCUUCGCCUGGAACUUAAAAUGUCUGAAUCCUGCGUGGCAUUAGAGCCGUUAUUUUGGGACCUAAAAAAUAUUGGGGGCUGUCAAGGUUUUUAAAGACGCACCUUCCACGAUGACAACAGCUGUUGACAAGCACAACCUGCAGGAAGCAGAAGUGAUGUCUCUCCCCCAACUACACCUAUUAAGGCAUGCUAGUGUAAGUACUAUAACUUGGCUAUUAUGCCUCACUUUACUUCUGAGCUGGAAAGACAGAAUGUAUUUUGAGCAAUAAUCCAAUGCCCACUGGAUCACAACAACUACUUUGGAAUAUUUAAAAAAACCCUCAAAGAAUACAAAAUCUAGUUUACUUUAAGCUGUUUAUUUUUUGUACUUGUCAGCUUACACAAACUGAAAUUAAACUGAUCACUUUCACUCAAUUUAUAUAAUCAGUUUCUCUUUCCGCUUCAUAUGUACUAGUGUUGUUUCCAAAAAAUUAAAAGACAUUGGGAACAAUUUUGUUCAUGUUAAGUUUCAUAAAAUCCUUUUGAAAGAAACCUACAAAAAUGUCCAUUUGACGAUAAUCCUUUUUUGGAAAUAUUAAAACACUUCUCUUUUAUUUCACUCAGCAUAUACAUGGUGAGUAGAUGUGCCAGCAAGUCAGAAAGAACCAGAGUAUAUUUAUUGUGAUCUAUAACUUAACACCAAUGAAACAAGAUGACCUAGUUUUAUGCUUGUGUAAACCUUUGAGCAUAAGCAGGAAAUAAAAUCUAGACAGUAAAUAAAAUAUAAUGUAGUACUUCAGCCAAUCUUUUUAAACUAUUUUCUGAGGAGGGUUGUGAAGAAGUUUAUUCAUGGUAAACUUCAUGGCGAGCGAUGAAUUAUAGCUUGUUUAGUACUAGACUCUACUGAUCCAAAAUACUAAACCAAGAUAUUAUCUAUCUGAAAGCUUCAUAAAAAUAUCAGAUACUCAAACCUGAUGCAUUAGAGAUUUGGAUAGCUUAAAGUUUCAAGAGAAACAUAUACUGGCCUUAAGGACUGGUGUAAGAUAACAGAAAUGCUUUUAAAUAUAAUCUAUACACGCUUAUAUUAUUCUGUGUGACUCAAUCAUAACGCUUACUGGAAAUUGGAAUGGCUAAAAGCAACUUUCUAUGGAGUUACCUGUGCUUACUUUUAUAAGAUAUUGCAUAUAUUAACUUCUGAAAUACAUUGUGAAAGAUUCAGUCUAAUAAACAAGUCAUUUUUGUCCAUCUCCCAUUCUGUUCCUAAAAGGACACAACUGGCAUAAAUAUCACUUGCGUUAACCUAGAUACACACACUGAUUUGAUUUAAUACAUACUC